rnacentral:rRNA from 1 species
UACAGAGGCUGCAAGCGUUAUUCGGAUUCACUGGGCGUAAAGGGUGCGCAGGCGGUUGGGUGUGUCAGAUGUGAAAUCCCGAGGCUUAACCUCGGAACUGCGUCUGAAACUACUCGACUAGAGUACUGGAGAGGGAAACGGAAUUCACGGUGUAGCAGUGAAAUGCGUAGAUAUCGUGAGGAACACCAGAGGCGAAGGCGGUUUCCUGGACAGUUACUGACGCUCAGGCACGAAAGCAUGGGGAGCAAAAGGG